UAGCUUGUGUUAAAGUCAGUCAUCUGCUCCUGCCUGUGAUCCUGAGCAAAAUGUCAUCCACUGAUACUCCGGCCUUCCCUCUCCUGCUUGUGCCUCAACCAUCUUUGAUCUAGGUGUGACGGUAUUAAUUAAACAAAGCUUCUUCAUCGUGUUGACUUGAAAACAACGCAAAAAAUGACUGCAAGCAGAGCAACGAACACUCUCGCUGCUGGCUGACAGGCUGCAGGUUGAGCGGUGCUGGUGAUGCGUCCUGUUGCAAGUCGGAAUUUACGACUCGGUAUUCCCGACUUCAAAGCGCCCCAGUGAAUUUGCUCUGUAAAACACGGAUGGCAGAAACAGCAGCUGAUUUAACGGUUUGACGUCACUUAAAAAAAAAAAAGACAGGAGGAGUCGGCUCCUAACACAAACUCUCAGAGACUUCUACUGAGCACAGGUGCGCUGCCAUACUGCUGUGAUGACAUCUGUGUGUGUGUCCACCGACUCGGACUAUGCAGAUCUUGGCUGAGUUUCGGGCCUGGAAUUCUGACUUGGAUGACCGUUCCAUUGCACUUUUCUGUGACGGAGGUCGUUUUUUUUCCGAGAUACGAGUACAACAGCAUGCACCACUGGUUUGGGCUUGUCGGACAUUUUGUAUCAGGAGUGCCAAUGACCUGCCAACCUGCAUUGCUAAGACUCAAAAAAUGCUCAGUUCUCAUCGGUGCAUGAGAGCUUAUGAAGCAAACGUGUUAAUGGCCUUUACAUGGGGUGAUUUACAGAGCUAUUUUCAACCUUGAAAGUUGCAACAAAACCAUGGUAGGUUAUUUAGAAAUCUGGGAAUAUAUGUGCUGGAAAAAGAAGUGAAUGUAAUCAAUAAAACAUCGAAGAAAAAGCCUGCAGGUGUCUGUUUUUGGAAAAUAAUAACAGUUCUCCUGAACAAUAAAUGUGGACAACAGCUUCUUUCUUUAAUUAUCUAAAACACGCUGUGAGCCAGAAGGUUCAGUCAAAGCCAACAGGACGCAACAACAG